GUAUCUGAGUGUCUUGCUGCCUCUGUGUGCCUGUUUUUCUGUCUGUCUCUGUGUGUCUGUCUGAGAGAGGGGGGGUGCUUAGCUCUUCUAUCCGCUUAAUCUGCAUUAAAUAUAAGCACAGAAUUAAAUAAACAUUUCAGAGUUGAAAAUGACCUUCGAUGUCAUCACGCUUUGGGCAUGCACAUUCUACAUGUUUGUUAAUUUGACAGAAUUGCAAGUUCGGAGAGAAAUUUCUUUUUGAAAGGACCUUCUUAUAUGGAGCAAAAACAUCUCUAGAAUUUUCUCGUACAGGCUAUAGCUCACAUCUGAAAGUCAUCAUGGAAAUCAAGCCCCAUUCCUCUUCCAACUAACUAUUUUUGAAACCUAGGAAGAUAGCCAUCACGUCUGGUGCACCUGGAACUUCGGCUUUUCAGGAUGCACAAGGAACUGCAGCUCAGCAGAUGUUUCUUAAGCUGAAAUGUGUGGACUUCCUGGUUUACACAAGGGGAAAAUUCACAAAGCCCAGAAGUAUCUUGGGCUCAAGUGUGUAACCAAUGGAAGACAUCAAUUGGAAGCUCAUCCUCCUAGGGAAGUUGUCAGACAAGAAAGAAUGACAGACACUCACAGAUGAAUGGUGAGACAGACAGACAGACACGGGUAAUCUUUUACUUCCUGUGGUGAGAGGAUGUGAUGGCAGCUAUCAUAUGACCAGGACAAACAGCAGUAGAGCUGCAUCCUCUGAACCCAACCAUCAGCAAGCUGCUGGACCAUCUGUCUCUAGACGCCAUUUUAUGUGAGACAACUGAUGUUCUUGUUGCUCAGGUCACUUUCAGUAUCCUUUAUCACCACACUUAACAUAACCCUCACUAGAGGUUACAGAGAAUGAGAAGUUAUUGCGAGAUUCCAGAUGAGGACUAUGUGCUUUAAAAAGGUCAUACAUCUGGUGAGGUACACAGAGUGACAAAGGAGUGGAGAAAUGGAUGUUUUAAAACAAAAGAUUUAAAUGUAUGAUUAUCUAGUAGUAGUAGUAGUA